UGUUCCAUUUUAGUCUUCUUAUUCCCAGCAACUAGCCCAGUACCUGCCACAUAAUAGGUACUUUGUGAAUGCUAAUGGAAGGAAAUAAAGGAUGAAGAAAGAAAGGAAGAAAGGAAAGAAGAAAAAUUUAGGGACAUGAUUUGACCUGUGGUGUAUCUGAAUCCAUCCAACCAUGAGCUGUUUGAUAAUGGGCUCUUCAAAUUACUCAAUCAUAGAAUCUCAGCAUGAUGGAGUUAGAAGGAACCUUGGAGAUCAUCUACUCUGGCCUCCUCAUUUUAUAGGUGAAGAAAUUAAGACCUAGGAAUGUUAAGUGAAUUUCACAAAGUCUCAGGAGUAGUAAGUGACAACACUAAAGUUAGAAGCUGGGUCUUCUUAUUUCCAGUAUGGGGCUCUAUGGUGUGAUAUUAUAUUGACAAGUCAUGAUUUUAAAAAUGAAUUUGUAAAUAAAAUCACAUUUGCAAUGGA